rnacentral:misc_RNA from 1 species
ACCAACCCCCGCAGGUCCUUCCCGAGCGAGUGACAGAGCCCCAUACGCUCGAGGACCAGACGGGCGUCGCCGCUGCCUUUCGGGCAGGUCCCCGGGGGGACCACACCCAACACACAAGCCGUGCUUGAGGGCAGAAAUGACGCUCGGACAGGCAUGCCCCCCGGAAUGCCAGGGGGCGCAAUGUGCGUUCAAAGAUUCGAUGAUUCACGGAAUUCUGCAAUUCACAUUACUUAUCGCAUUUCGCUGCGUUCUUCAUCGAUGCCGGAACCAAGAGAUCCAUUGUUGAAAGUUUUGACAAUUUUCACAGUACUCAGACAGCCCAUCUUCAUCAGGGUUCACAGAGCGCUUCGGCGGGCGCGGGCCCGGAGACGUGCGUCCCCCGGCGACCAGGUGGCCCCGGUGGGCCCGCCAAAGCAACAGGUGUAUAGAGACAAGGGUGGGAGGUUCGUGGAUUAGGUAAGAGUUACCCGCUGAAAUUUAAGCAUAUAAAACAGCCAGAGAAACGGGCCCUCUCGGCUCUCCUCCCCCUUGUCCCUUUCCCCGGUUGCUUUUGGCGGGCCCCGGGGCCCCGGGUGCCGGGGGGGCGCCGUCCCGGGCCCCCCCCAAACGCUCGUGGNCCCUUAUGAAGAUGGGGCUGUCUGGAUUUCUGUGGAAUAAUUGUUCAAACUUUCAAAAUGGGAACUCCUGGGUUCCGGGAUCCAUGUAAGAAACCACCGAAAUUGCCAUAAAGUAAAGGUGCNUUUGCAGAAA